CCUACGGGGGGCAGCAGUGGGGAAUAUUGCACAAUGGGGGAAACCCUGAUGCAGCGACGCCGCGUGAGUGAAGAAGUAUUUCGGUACGUAAAGCUCUAUCAGCAGGGAAGAAGAAAGACGGUACCUGACUAAGAAGCCCCGGCUAACUACGUGCCAGCAGCCGCGGUAAUACGUAGGGGGCAAGCGUUAUCCGGAUUUACUGGGUGUAAAGGGAGCGUAGACGGCGGUGUAAGUCUGAAGUGAAAGCCCAGGGCUCAACCCUGGGACUGCUUUGGAAACUGUGGAGCUAGAGUGCUGGAGGGGUAAGUGGAAUUCCUGGUGUAGCGGUGAAAUGCGUAGAUAUUAGGAGGAACACCAGUGGCGAAGGCGGCUUACUGGACAGUAACUGACGUUGAGGCUCGAAAGCGUGGGGAGCAAACAGGAUUAGAUACCCGGGUAGUC
rnacentral:rRNA from 1 species